rnacentral:ncRNA from 1 species
CACCGCCCGUCACACUAUGGGAGUUGGCCAUGCCCGAAGUCGUUACCUUAACCACAAGGAGGGGGAUGCCGAAGGCAGGGCUAGUGACUGGAGUGAAGUCGUAACAAGGUAGCCGUACUGGAAGGUGCGGCUG